rnacentral:lncRNA from 1 species
ACAUACCAGGACCUCCCAGGGGAACGCAGGGAGACCUGGCCCCUGGCUCAAGCUUUCCGAAAUCACCAGCAGAGCACCCCACAGGUGCCCCAGGAUCAGCUGGAAAGCGGACGCGAUGGCAGGCAGCAGGCCCUCCAUGGCUGGGGAGAGCUCCGCAGCUGUGCCUCUGAGUGCCAGUGCCCUGUGGGCCACAACUGACCGCUCGGAACCCUGAGGAGUGUUCCAUCUCCAAAGUAAACAGGGAAGUAAAUGAUGAAUCUUCAUCCCACAUUAACGCUCCCUGCUGACUAUCCCAUCUUUGGGAAGAGUUGUGCUGCAUUCCUGGAAUGUUUGAGGUCAUUACGAGAGAUUGGCUACAUUCUCAUCCACACCCAUCAUUAAGGAAAAUAAUGUCCAGAUUCAGCUAGCUGACUCUCCAUCAGCAAAAGGAUUGCAACUCCCUGAAGGCUCAGAUGAUGGUUAGCACUUCAUAGCAAUAAAGCAUUUUUUAAUCAA